rnacentral:misc_RNA from 1 species
GAUGAAGAACGUAGCGAAAUGCGAUAAGUAAUGUGAAUUGCAGAAUUCAGUGAAUCAUCGAAUCUUUGAACGCACAUUGCGCCCGCCAGUAUUCUGGCGGGCAUGCCUGUUCGAGCGUCAUUACAACCCUCAGGCCCCCGGGCCUGGCGUUGGGGAUCGGCGGAAGCCCCCUGCGGGCACAACGCCGUCCCCCAAAUACAGUGGCGGUCCCGCCGCAGCUUCCAUUGCGUAGUAGCUAACACCUCGCUACUGGAGGGCGGCGCGGCCACGCCGUAAAACACCCAACUUCUGAAUGUUGACCUCGAAUCAGGUAGGAAUACCCGCUGAACUUAAGCAUAUCAAUAAGCGGAGGA